AACGAACGCUGGCGGCAUGCCUAACACAUGCAAGUCGAACGAGACCUUCGUGUCUAGUUGCGCACGGGUGCGUAACGCGUGGGAACCUGCCCUUAGGUUCGGAAUAACUCCCCUAAAUGGGUGCUAAUACCGGAUAAUUUCUUCUGAUCAAAGAUUUAUCGCAGUUGGAUGGGCCCGCGUUGGAUUAGCUAGUUGGUAGUGUAAAAGCCUACCAAGGCGACGAUCCAUAGCUGGUCUGAGAGGAUGAGCAGCCACACUGGGACUGAGACACGGCCCAGAAUCCUACGGGAGGCAGCAGUGGGGAAUAUUGGACAAUGGGCGAAAGCCUGAUCCAGCAAUGCCGCGUGAGUGAUGAAGGCCUUAGGGUUGUAAAGCUAUUUUAACCGGGAGGAUAAUGACAGUACCGGGAGAAUAAGCUCCGGCUAACUCCGUG
rnacentral:rRNA from 1 species